rnacentral:rRNA from 1 species
UACGUAGGUGGCAAGCGUUGUCCGGAUUUACUGGGCGUAAAGAGCGCGCAGGCGGUCGAAUAAGUCGAAUGUGAAAGCCCCCGGCUCAACUGGGGAGGGUCAUUCGAUACUGCUCGACUUGAAGGCAGGAGAGGGUAGUGGAAUUCCCGGUGUAGUGGUGAAAUGCGUAGAUAUCGGGAGGAACACCAGUGGCGAAGGCGACUACCUGGCCUGUUCUUGACGCUGAGGCGCGAAAGCGUGGGGAGCGAACCGG